CCCGCCCGGAUUAGUGGCAGCUUGGCCUGACUCUCCGGGGCUCCUUCCCCCGCCCCCGCCUGCUGCCCUCCCCUGGGCAGGGGGCUGUUCCACCCGAGGGGCACUGUGCUUGCCCAGGGUGCUGGAGGAGGAAACCGGCGGAGCAGCUUCCCCACUCUCAGUUGCGCGUCUGGCGAUGGCGAUGAGAGGUCCUGCUGCGCUGCCCGCCGCGCUCCCCCUCCAUUAGCCGCGCCGCGCCGCGCCCUCCCCGGCCGGCCGCACGC
rnacentral:lncRNA from 1 species